rnacentral:rRNA from 1 species
CCUACGGGGGGCAGCAGUGAGGAAUAUUGGUCAAUGGACGAGAGUCUGAACCAGCCAAGUAGCGUGAAGGAUGACUGCCCUAUGGGUUGUAAACUUCUUUUAUAUGGGAAUAAAACGUUCCACGUGUGGGAUUUUGUAUGUACCAUAUGAAUAAGGAUCGGCUAACUCCGUGCCAGCAGCCGCGGUAAUACGGAGGAUCCGAGCGUUAUCCGGAUUUAUUGGGUUUAAAGGGAGCGUAGGUGGAUUGGUAAGUCAGUUGUGAAAGUUUGCGGCUCAACCGUAAAAUUGCAGUUGAAACUGGCAGUCUUGAGUACAGUAGAGGUGGGCGGAAUGCGUGGUGUAGCGGUGAAAUGCUUAGAUAUCACGAAGAACUCCGAUUGCGAAGGCAGUUCACUGGACUGCAACUGACACUGAGGCUCGAAAGUGUGGGUAUCAAACAGGAUUAGAUACCCUAGUAGUC